rnacentral:rRNA from 1 species
AGAGUUUGAUCAUGGCUCAGGACGAACGCUGGCGGCGUGCCUAACACAUGCAAGUCGAACGCCCUUUCCGCGAGGGGAGGGAGUGGCGGACGGGUGAGGAACACGUGGGUAACCUGCCCUGCAGUGGGGGAUACCGGUGCGAAAGCGCCGACAAUCCCGCAUGCGCUCUGGGAGCGGGAGCGAGCAGAGGAAAGCUUGAGGCUGGAGGGCCUUGGGCGCUGCAGGAGGGGCCUGCGUCCGAUUAGCUAGUUGGUGGGGGAAGGGCCCACCAAGGCGAGGACGGGUCGCUGGUCUGAGAGGACGGCCAGCCAGACGGGGACUGGGACACGGCCCCGACUCCUACGGGAGGCAGCAGUGGGGGAUCUUGGACAAUGGCCGCAAGGCUGAUCCAGCGACGCCGCGUGGGGGACGAAGGGCUUCGGCCUGUAAACCCCUGUUGGCGGGGACGAGGCAGGACGGUACCCGCCGAGGAAGCCCCGGCUAACUCCGUGCCAGCAGCCGCGGUAAGACGGAGGGGGCGAGCGUUGUCCGGAUUUACUGGGCGUAAAGGGCGUGUAGGCGGCGCGCUUGGUUGCCGGUGAAAGCCCCCGGCUCAACCGGGGAGGGUCCGGCAAGACGGGCGCGCUCGAGGCCGGCAGAGGCAGGUGGAAUUCCCGGUGGAGCGGUGAAAUGCGUAGAGAUCGGGAGGAACACCGGUGGCGAAGGCGGCCUGCUGGGCCGGGCCUGACGCUGAGGCGCGAAAGCGUGGGGAGCGAACCGGAUUAGAUACCCUGGUAGUCAAGGGCGAAUUCGUU